UUAGUACAGUAUCUGGUGCAUAGUGCGCACACUUAACCAGUAUGAUUUAAAAAAAAAAUAAAACAGUAACAGGAUGCUAAAUUGGAUAAAUCCAGAGGUCGAUAAAGAGCCACAGGAUAAAUGUGUUUAUUUCCAAAGCGAGCUUGGGCUGUUGAGUUUUUCUCCGUGAAUGCAUCCCAAUAUCACCGCUAAUUGCACGAGGCCAAAGGCUUUUUGAUGACUUUUCACUAUGAGCAGGGCACUUUCGGAGGGCACAAGCAUUCCUUACCCUGGUCAACCCUUCUGAGCUACAGGACUGUGCCCUCUAGGUCCCUGGAAUUUCUUCAGCAGGGGCCCUGCAGUAGAGCCAAGUAGAAGACUUGCGGAAACUUUCCCCCUUUUCUUAUUCUUACCUCAUAGUGACACUUUCACAGCUGUCCACAAGCUAAAAAGUUUUCCUUCUCUAAUUGUAUUUUCCGCCUCCUGAGAUGUCGGAUUUGCCACUGGGCGCUGAGCUGGCUUGUCGGGUAUGGAAGGACAUUCACAAUCAUUCUCUACUUUGCUCUCUUUGCCACCUGCCACUGCACGGAAAUUGUCCUGACCGGGCUCAUGGGGCUUUCAUUCUGUCUCCUUUUGAUGCCGAGUAUUAAAGUGUCGGGAAAAAUCAGGGACUUUUUCGGGAAGCAGAAAUUGCCUUUUUUCAUGCACAGUUCUUGCCAGGAACACCCAUUUAUCCGUGCUGCUGACUCCUUGAUCUGUGACUGAACCUACAGUUAGACUGUCAAGGAAAUCCACCGGGAACCCUGCUGCCUUCCCACUACCACACGCAGGACCCCUGUUCCUAGGAUGCUCUGGGUACGCUGGGCCACCGGGAUUUAAACUGCAGUAGCGCAUCUCUCAGACAGCUGAGCAAAUCCCACCACACCUCCCAAGACCCCCAAUUUCCCCAGCUAUCGGACCAUCACGAUGCCUCCCCGGAAUCGUGCAUCGGCUUGCCUCUUUUCAUCCCGGCCUGCCCCGCGUCGCCCCAGUGGAUGGAGGGAAGCAGCGUCAGCCUGGAGCCACCUCCACAAACCCCGGGAAGACUGUGAUGUGGACUCCAAGCCCCAAGGAGCCUGAAAUUCUGCUCUUCUAGACACAGUACCCGACUGAGCUUUGUUCUUAUUUUGGAUUGCAAACCUCCUGAGGGCCUGGGACCAUACUUACUUCCCUUCUGAGAAUUUCUAAAAAUACAAUGCUCUGUACAGUGUAAAU